rnacentral:tRNA from 1 species
UCAGAGAAUAGUUUAUAAAAAUAUUAGUUUUGGGAAUUAAAGACAAAGAAGUUGUUCUUUUUCUCUGAA